rnacentral:rRNA from 1 species
AACGAACGCUGGCGGCAUGCCCAACACAUGCAAGUCGAACGAGACCUUCGGGUCUAGUGGCGCACGGGUGCGUAACGCGUGGGAAUCUGCCCCUUGGUUCGGAAUAACAGUUAGAAAUGACUGCUAAUACCGGAUGAUGACUUCGGUCCAAAGAUUUAUCGCCAAGGGAUGAGCCCGCGUAGGAUUAGGUAGUUGGUGGGGUAAAGGCUCACCAAGCCGACGAUCCUUAGCUGGUCUGAGAGGAUGAUCAGCCACACUGGGACUGAGACACGGCCCAGACUCCUACGGGAGGCAGCAGCGGGGAAUAUUGGACAAUGGGCGAAAGCCUGAUCCAGCAAUGCCGCGUGAGUGAUGAAGGCCUUAGGGUUGUAAAGCUCUUUUACCAGGGAUGAUAAUGACAGUACCUGGAGAAUAAGCUCCGGCUAACUCCGUGCCAGCCGCCGCCGUAA